GAGUUUGAUCCUGGCUCAGAUUGAACGCUGGCGGCAUGCCUUACACAUGCAAGUCGAACGGCAGCACGGGAGCUUGCUCCUGGUGGCGAGUGGCGAACGGGUGAGUAAUGCAUCGGAACGUAUCCUGGAGUGGGGGAUAACGUAGCGAAAGUUACGCUAAUACCGCAUAUUCUGUGAGCAGGAAAGCGGGGGACCUUCGGGCCUCGCGCUCUUGGAGCGGCCGAUGUCGGAUUAGCUAGUUGGUGAGGUAAAGGCUCACCAAGGCGACGAUCCGUAGCAGGUCUGAGAGGAUGAUCUGCCACACUGGAACUGAGACACGGUCCAGACUCCUACGGGAGGCAGCAGUGGGAAUUUGGACAAUGGGGCAACCCUGAUCCAGCCAUGCCGCGUGAGUG
rnacentral:rRNA from 1 species